rnacentral:rRNA from 1 species
GAUGAACGCUGGCGGCGUGCCUAAUACAUGCAAGUCGAGCGAACGGACGAGAAGCUUGCUUCUCUAAUGUUAGCGGCGGACGGGUGAGUAACACGUGGAUAACCUACCUAUAAGACUGGGAUAACUUCGGGUAACCGUAGCUAAUACCGGAUAAUAUUUUGAACCGCAUGGUUCAAAAGUGAAAGACGGUCUUGCUGUCACUUAUAGAUGGAUCCGCGCUGCAUUAGCUAGUUGGUAAGGUAACGGCUUACCAAGGCAACGAUGCAUAGCCGACCUGAGAGGGUGAUCGGCCACACUGGAACUGAGACACGGUCCAGACUCCUACGGGAGGCAGCAGUAGGGAAUCUUCCGCAAUGGGCGAAAGCCUGACGGAGCAACGCCGCGUGAGUGAUGAAGGUCUUCGGAUCGUAAAACUCUGUUAUUAGGGAAGAACAUAUGUGUAAGUAACUGUGCACAUCUUGACGGUACCUAAUCAGAAAGCCACGGCUAACUACGUG